rnacentral:tRNA from 1 species
GGGUCUGUAGCUCAGAGGCAGAGCGCUCGGAUCAUAACCGAUGAGGUCGGGAUAUCGUAAUUCCCCGGACCCACCA